CUGGAUGUGAGACUGGAGAGGAGCGAUCUGUACCCAAGGAAACAUAUAGUAUAUAGAAGUAAACAAGACCUCUGUAUUCCGUGGUUAAUAUAAUAACUAUCUUUCAAGGAUUUCUUACAAUCUAAUGUUUUGAUUGUUUAUGUUUUGGAUUUUUUUCAGAUUACCUGGAAGGAGACAUUAGCAUCAGGAAAGAGGCCUUGGUCCGAAUUAUCAGGAACAACCACGACUCCUUAUUUGUCAAGGAAUUGGCAGUGGCAAUCUGGAGCACUAAAGCGCUGGGGGGGGAAAGCCUUACAGGGAAGGAGUGCCCCACCACCAAAUCCACCCGCCAGCCUUUAACCCCAAAGAAGCUGCAAACACUGAAAGUCUGCUUCAAGGAGUGGCUCCAGGAAAAAAAACUGGAGGAUACGGAGUUGCAGGCCAGAUGGGCAAAGGCUGGACGUUAUAUAACUGAAGAAAUCAUGGUCAUAAACUAACAAAAACAAAAAAUCAGUUAAUUAAUGAGUGAUUGAAAUGUUUAAUGUUUUGAUGUUGAUGUUUUAAUAGUUAAUUCUAAAUAGUUAUGUAAAUAGUUAAUUUGGUUGUUUCUCUUUUGUAAAGUGUUCCAUGUUCUUUAUUAUGUGUCUGUCAUAUUUAAUAAAUGGAAAUACUGUUUUGAAAACCUGACCAAUCAAC